rnacentral:rRNA from 1 species
GAUGAACGCUGGCGGUGUGCCUAACACAUGCAAGUCGAGCGAUUCUCUUCGGAGAAGAGCGGCGGACGGGUGAGUAACGCGUGGGUAACCUGCCCUGUACACACGGAUAACAUACCGAAAGGUAUGCUAAUACGAGAUAAUAUGCUUUUAUCGCAUGGUAGAAGUAUCAAAGCUUUUGCGGUACAGGAUGGACCCGCGUCUGAUUAGCUAGUUGGUGAGGUAACGGCUCACCAAGGCGACGAUCAGUAGCCGACCUGAGAGGGUGAUCGGCCACAUUGGAACUGAGACACGGUCCAAACUCCUACGGGAGGCAGCAGUGGGGAAUAUUGCACAAUGGGCGAAAGCCUGAUGCAGCAACGCCGCGUGAGCGAUGAAGGCCUUCGGGUCGUAAAGCUCUGUCCUCAAGGAAGAUAAUGACGGUACUUGAGGAGGAAGCCCCGGCUAACUAC